ACCAGGAAGUAAUACAACAGAGAAGACACAUGCAGGCACAUUGUAGUGUCAAGGAUAAAGCACCAUGCCACACUGCCAGAGUCAUCAAGGGGUGCCGUGAGGAAGGUGGUCUUGACCUCCAUAUUCACCUGGCAUUAACCCAAUCGAAAAGUGGGUUCAUGCUACCUCACCACCACCCCGCAAUGUACGGGAACUGGGAUGGCUCAUCGAUGAGGCUUUGGAAACAGCAGCCCGCUCUCCGCGCA